rnacentral:rRNA from 1 species
UACGUAGGGUGCAAGCGUUGUCCGGAAUUAUUGGGCGUAAAGAGCUCGUAGGCGGUUUGUCGCGUCUGCUGUGAAAACUCAGGGCUUAACCCUGAGCCUGCAGUGGGUACGGGCAGACUAGAGUGUGGUAGGGGAGAUCGGAAUUCCUGGUGUAGCGGUGAAAUGCGCAGAUAUCAGGAGGAACACCGAUUGCGAAGGCAGCUCGCUGGAACGUUACUGACGCUGAGACGCGAAAGCGUGGGGAGCAAACAGG